AUUGAACGCUGGCGGCAUGCCUUACACAUGCAAGUCGAACGGAAACAGGUCUUCGGAUGCUGACGAGUGGCGAACGGGUGAGUAAUACAUCGGAACGUGCCUAGUAGUGGGGGAUAACUACUCGAAAGAGUGGCUAAUACCGCAUGAGAUCUACGGAUGAAAGCAGGGGAUCGCAAGACCUUGUGCUACUAGAGCGGCCGAUGGCAGAUUAGGUAGUUGGUGGGAUAAAAGCUUACCAAGCCGACGAUCUGUAGCUGGUCUGAGAGGACGAUCAGCCACACUGGGACUGAGACACGGCCCAGGCUCCUACGGGAGGCAGCAGUGGGGAAUUUUGGACAAUGGGCGAAAGCCUGAUCCAGCAAUGCCGCGUGCAGGAUGAAGGCCUUCGGGUUGUAAACUGCUUUUGUACGGAACGAAAAGCCCCGGGUUAAUACCCUGGGGUCAUGACGGUACCGUAAGAAUAAGCACCGGCUAACUACGUGCCAGCAGCCGCCGUAA
rnacentral:rRNA from 1 species